rnacentral:rRNA from 1 species
GAUGAACGCUGGCGGCGUGCCUAAUACAUGCAAGUCGAGCGAACAGACGAGGAGCUUGCUUCUCUGACGUUAGCGGCGGACGGGUGAGUAACACGUGGAUAACCUACUUAUAAGACUGGGAUAACUUCGGGAAACCGGAGCUAAUACCGGAUAAUAUAUUGAACCGCAUGGUUCAAUAGUGAAAGACGGUUUUGCUGUCACUUAUAGAUGGAUCCGCGCCGCAUUAGCUAGUUGGUAAGGUAACGGCUUACCAAGGCAACGAUGCGUAGCCGACCUGAGAGGGUGAUCGGCCGCACUGGAACUGAGACACGGUCCAGACUCCUACGGGAGGCAGCAGUAGGGAACCUUCCGCAAUGGGCGAAAGCCUGACGGAGCAACGCCGCGUGAGUGAUGAAGGUCUUCGGAUCGUAAAACUCUGUUAUUAGGGAAGAACAAAUGUGUAAGUAACUAUGCACGUCUUGACGGUACCUAAUCAGAAAGCCACGGCUAACUACGUG